rnacentral:rRNA from 1 species
GACGAACGCUGGCGGCGUGCUUAACACAUGCAAGUCGAACGGAAAGGCCUCUUGCUUGCAAGGGUACUCGAGUGGCGAACGGGUGAGUAACACGUGGGUGAUCUGCCUUGCACUCUGGGAUAAGCUUGGGAAACUGGGUCUAAUACCGGAUAGGAACCGUCUUUAGUGUGGUGGUUGGAAAGUUUUUUCGGUGCAAGAUGAGCUCGCGGCCUAUCAGCUUGUUGGUGGGGUAAUGGCCUACCAAGGCGUCGACGGGUAGCCGGCCUGAGAGGGUGUACGGCCACAUUGGGACUGAGAUACGGCCCAGACUCCUACGGGAGCAGCAGUGGGAAUAUUGCACAAUGGGCGGAAGCCUGAUGCAGCGACGCCGCGUGGGGGAUGACGGCCUUCGGGUUGUAAACUCCUUUCGACAGGGACGAAGCGUAAGUGACGGUACCUGUAUAAGAAGCACCGGCUAACUACGUGCCAGCGCG